rnacentral:rRNA from 1 species
GCAGCAGCCGCGGUAAUACGAAGGGUGCAAGCGUUAAUCGGAAUUACUGGGCGUAAAGCGUGCGUAGGCGGUGAGUUAAGUCUGCUGUGAAAUCCCCGGGCCCAACCUGGGAAUGGCAGUGGAUACUGGCUCGCUAGAGUGUGUCAGAGGAUGGUGGAAUUCCCGGUGUAGCGGUGAAAUGCGUAGAGAUCGGGAGGAACAUCAGUGGCGAAGGCGGCCAUCUGGGACAACACUGACGCUGAGGCACGAAAGCGUGGGGAGCAAACAGGAUUAGAUACCCCAGUAGUCCCUGUCUCUUAUAC